rnacentral:lncRNA from 1 species
CGGUGGAAGUUAUCGGGUGGCAGCAGAGUUGGAAUGGGAUAGGUAGUUCCCCGUUUCCAGGACCCCAGACGGCCUGCUGGGACAGUGUAUAUGAGUCCGGAAUGGGCUGGACCAGGGUCAGGCUAGCCCAGACUUCAGAGACAAUCAAGCUUUCGAUGAUCAUGUGAUGAGGUUUCCAGUCAGUUCCAGGUGAAGACACCACUGGCCAUCAAGAAGCUACCCUCUCCCCACCAGACAGAGCAGGAUGAGAGUUCUAUAAUCCUCAAUAGGAGGAAGCACUCAAUUGAACAAGUGCAGGAACCAGCUGGCUGCCUCAGCACUGACAGAAGCAAAUUCCAUUUGCUUGGACCCACUGCAUUCCAUCCCUUGUGGAAGAGAGCAUGUAAGCAAGACAGGACCUUCAGGCCUCUGAAAAAAAAAGGAUCAAAGAACUGAAACUCACCAGAUCACCUCACCAGAUGCUGGACCCCUCAUUCACCAUGUUUGCUUCCUUGCCUCUCCCUAGUUCUUAUUUUCUUACACAUUGUUACAUUUCUUCCCUGCUAUAUCAACCCCUAGUUCUAGUCAGUCAUGGAGAUGGAUUUGAGACUGAUCUCCCAUCCCCUCAGCUACACCACCUGAUUAAAGCCUUCUUCCUUGGCAAUAA